rnacentral:rRNA from 1 species
CCAAGGAGUGCAACAUGUGCGCGAGCCCUUUGGCGAGCAAACCAGAAGGCGCAAUGAAAGUGAAGGCACGGUCGCCGUGCUGAGGUGAGAGCCGGCCCCGACGGGACGGCGCAUCAUCGACCGAUCCCAACCGCACUGCUCGCAGUGUGGCGGGAUUCGAGUGAGAGUGUACCUGUUGCGACCCGAAAGAUGGUGAACUAUGCCUGAAUAGGGUGAAGCCAGAGGAAACUCUGGUGGAGGCCCGUAGCGAUUCUGACGUGCAAAUCGAUCGUCAAAUUUGGGUAUAGGGGCGAAAGACUAAUCGAACCAUC